rnacentral:rRNA from 1 species
UACAGAGGUCUCAAGCGUUUGUUCGGAUUCAUUGGGCGUAAAGGGUGCGUAGGUGGCGAGGUUAGUCAGGUGUGAAAUCUCGGGGCUCAACCCCGAAACUGCACUUGAUACUGCCUUGCUAGAGUACUGGAGAGGAGAUUGGAAUUUACGGUGUAGCAGUGAAAUGCGUAGAUAUCGUAAGGAAGACCAGUGGCGAAGGCGGGUCUCGUGGACAGUUCCUGACGCUGAGGCACGAAGGCCAGGGGAGCAAACGGG